UACUGGUGCCGCAGCGGGGCCGUUACUGGCGCCAGUCCCCGCUACCCACUGGGAGCACCGAGCUGCGGAGCGCCGCCGGCUCGGGCCGGGGCCGCCAAGGACAGGACGUGGAGCGCGGCCGGGACCGGGAACCGGCGCAGCCCCGGGGGCAGCGGGACCGCCACCACGGCCCGGGGACAGCCCGGACAGUGCCACCACGGCCCGGGGACAGCCCGGACAGUGCCACCACGGCCCGGGAGCAGCGGGACCGCCACCACGGCCCGGGGACAGCGCGGGGACACGGGCUCGGGGACCUGGGAUUGGCCGCGUUUUUCCCCUCCAAACUCAGCAGCUUCUCAUGCCCUGCCGGGAACUCCUCCUGCUCCCUCAGCUACACCCCGGAGAUUCCCGAAAGGUUCCCGGGAGCCAACGGGCAGUGGAGGAGCUCCAAGCCCCGGGGGA